UACGGGGGGAGCAAGCGUUGUUCGGAUUUACUGGGCGUAAAGGGUGCGUAGGCGGUCGGGUAAGUCUGAUGUGAAAUCUCCGGGCUUAACCCGGAAAUGGCAUUGGAAACUGCAGGGCUGGAGUGUUGGAGGGGGGACUGGAAUUCUCGGUGUAGCAGUGAAAUGCGUAGAUAUCGAGAGGAACACCAGUGGCGAAGGCGAGUCCCUGGACAACUACUGACACUGAGGCACGAAAGCUAGGGGAGCAAACAGG
rnacentral:rRNA from 1 species